UCUAAUUGCCUGGCUCAGCUAGAUUUGCCUUCGAUGAGCUUAAGUGCUUGUUUGGGAGAGCUUAAAUUAUAAUCACUUUUGAUCAAACAUACCUUCUAAUCACUCGUCUUAGGACCGACAAUUACUAUUCAUUUUUUAUCUACAUGUUAUGGGGACUCGCUGCUUGAAUUAUAUUUAGCCCAUGUUUGAGCCCCAUUUUUGGGCCAAAAUACAUUUUAGAAUAGCGUUUUGUUGGAGAAAGUGUAGUUGAAAGAUAAGGAAAUGUUUUGGGUUUAUGUGUAAAAUUAUUUUAUGGGAGAAUGUGUGGUUGAAAAUGAGUUUUUGAAAAAAGUUACUUUUUGAGAAAAUGGGGGCCAAAUAUAGGCUUAAACUCUCCUAAACAAGUGCUAAAUUAUGGGUUAGUGGCAAAUAGUCCACCGCGGUGACUGAAAUUCUUCUUGAUGCCUUUUUUUUUUUUUUUUUUUUAAAUAAUAAUAGCCAGUACUCUGUGAUUUUCAAUACCGUCUUUGGGGUUUCUGGAAGUCAUUAUGUUAAUGAAAAAUGUCGUGGCGACAUUGCUAAUAAAUUAGUCAGUUCUUUGUCUAACUCUAUUCCUUUUGUCUGUGUGAAUUCCGGGACAAAAAGAAACUGCAUAGCUUCAAUAGAUAAUUUUUAUUUUUUAUUAUUAUUAUUUUUUAAAAUUUUAAAAUUACUCGAGGUAAUUUGAAGAGCAUUUUGAACCAAGUGAUGUUUCUAGAGUAGGGUUAUUAGGGUAUCCUACAACCAGGUGGGUUGGGGUUCUAUCAAUUUGUUUUGCAUACAUUAGGGGGUAAUUUGUAUUUCAACAUUAAAUGUUUACAAUAUUAUUUUUCCAUAUUUCCAGACUGUUUAUUUAUUUCCACAAUGUCGUGAUUGCAGUGAUUGCUACCUAAGUUGAUGAUCAACUUCAUGCUUUAGUCGGGACACAAUGCACUGUUUCACAAUAUAAUUUCUUAAAAUAGAUGUGUAUAUUUGUUUACAUAUCAUUUUGUUAAUUCAGCAUCCUUUGAUAACAUUUUAGGUAUUGUCUUUUCAUCUUUAUUCCAUCUAACAAUUCUCCACUAAUAUUGGUUGGUCAAACGAAGUGUGAUCUCAAGUUGUACUUAGAUUUCUUGUUUGCUACAAUUUUGCAACUAGCUGCUGUUUGUAGAUUACCAUUUAUCGAUGAAUGUCGCCUUCUUUCUGAGAUUGCAAAAGUGGAACAUACAUUGACGGAUGAAGAAAAGCGGAGAAACAGUUUGGGUAUGGAUAAACUGUAUAUUCAUGUCUCCCAUCCUUUAGCCUCAAAGAUCUUGGCCUUCUAUGAACGGAAUAAAGACAAUCUAAAGUUGUCUAAAGCUAAAGUAAAGAGGAAAAUCGACCCUAAAUUAAGGUAAGAUAUCCUAACAUUAAUAAAUUUCAUAUCUUUAUUGGUAUUUGUAUAACACCCUUCAUCCUUUCUGCAAGGGUUGGAAAAAGUAAAGUGA